UGGGGAAUAUUGCACAAUGGGCGCAAGCCUGAUGCAGCAAUGCCGCGUGUAUGAAGAAGGCCUUCGGGUUGUAAAGUACUUUCAGCGGGGAGGAAGGGAGUAAAGUUAAUACCUUUGCUCAUUGACGUUACCCGCAGAAGAAGCACCGGCUAACUCCGUGCCAGCAGCCGCGGUAAUACGGAGGGUGCAAGCGUUAAUCGGAAUUACUGGGCGUAAAGCGCACGCAGGCGGUUUGUUAAGUCAGAUGUGAAAUCCCCGGGCUCAACCUUGGAACUGCAUCUGAUACUGGCAAGCUUGAGUCUCGUAGAUGGGGGUAGAAUUCCAGGUGUAGCGGUGAAAUGCGUAGAGAUCUGGAGGAAUACCGGUGGCGAAGGCGGCCCCCUGGACGAAGACUGACGCUCAGGUGCGAAAGCGUGGGGAGCAAACAGG
rnacentral:rRNA from 1 species